ACUAUAUUACCCAUAAUCCUAAGCGUAACAGCAACGUUUCUGAUUGGUCCAACUCACUGUUAAAAAAGAGGGAGG